GCGCCUGUGGUGAAACUGGCAGACACGCAAGAUUUAGGUUCUUGUGCCGUGAGGCGUGCAGGUUCGAUUCCUGUCAGGCGCACCA
rnacentral:tRNA from 1 species